UCGUAACAAGGUUUCCGUAGGUGAACCUGCGGAAGGAUCAUUACCUUAAUGUCUUUUAUUAGACAACGGGGGGCUUUGUACGCGUUACCUUUCAGUUUAUGAAUUGUAGCGCCUGCAGCCCCUGUCUGAACCCGUGUUUUUGCGUACUGCUUGUUUCCUUGGUGGGCUUGCCUGCCAAAUGGACCACAUUAUAAACCCUUGUAAUUGCAAUCAGCGUCAGAAAAAUAAUAAUAAUUACAACUUUCAACAACGGAUCUCUUGGCUCUGGCAUCGAUGAAGAACGCAGCGAAAUGCGAUAAGUAGUGUGAAUUGCAGAAUUCAGUGAAUCAUCGAAUCUUUGAACGCACAUUGCCCCCCUUGGUAUUCCAUGGGGGAUGCCUGUUCGAGCGUCAUUUGUACCCUCAAGCCUUGCUUGGUGUUGGGUGAUUGUCUAUCCGCUCGGUUAGACUCGCCUUAAAUUAAUUGGCAGCUGGUAUUCCGGUUUUAAGCGUAGCACAAUUACGUUUUUCUCUAGAGCGCCCGCAUCCACAAAGUACAUCAUCACGUUUGACCUCGGAUCAGGUAGGGAUACCCGCUGAACUUAAGCAUAUCAAUAAGCGGAGGAAAAGAAACCAACAGGGAUUGCCUUAGUAACGGCGGGUGAAGCGGCAACAGCUCAAAUUUGAAAUCUGGCUCUUUCAGAGUCCGAGUUGUAAUUUGCAGAGGGCGCUUUGGCAUUGGCGGCGGUCUAAGUUCUUUGGAACAGGACGUCACAGAGGGUGAGAAUCCCGUACGUGGCUGCUAGCCUUUGCCGUGUAAAGCCCCUUUGACGAGUCGAGUUGUUUGGGAAUGCAGCUCUAAAUGGGAGGUAAAUUUCUUCUAAAGCUAAAUACUGGCCAGAGACCGAUAGCGCACAAGUAGAGUGAUCGAAAGAUGAAAAGCACUUUGGAAAGAGAGUCAAAUAGCACGUGAAAUUGUUGAAAGGGAAGCGCUUGCAGCCAGACUUGCCUGUAGUUGCUUAUCCAGACUUUUGUCUGGUGCACUCUUCUGCGGGCAGGCCAGCAUCAGUUUGGGCGGUUGGAUAAAGGUCUCUGUCAUGUACCUCUCUUCGGGGAGGCCUUAUAGGGGAGACGACAUGCAACCAGCCUGGACUGAGGUCCGCGCAUCUGCUAGGAUGCUGGCGUAAUGGCUGUAAGCGGCC
rnacentral:rRNA from 1 species